AGAACGAAUUCGCGAAGAAGAAGAGCGUGCGCGCGGAUGUGUCACUGGCCGCGGAACCUUGUGCCGCAUAUCAUCGGAUACACGCUGGGCCGCAACGAAUGGAGCGUCAUCUUGUUAUCGUCCUCGUCCAGGCCGUACUUGGAGAAGUGCUUCACACAAAACACCCAACUGCCGGUCUCUGGGCGAUACUCGACGAAGCGCGUAUCGUUUGCAUAGCAGGCGCAACGCAGAUGUCCCUCCCAAUUCAUUUCGAUCAGACGCUGCGCAUCCUUCACAACAGGCACAGGCUGGGUCUUGUCCACGGGCCAUACCUGCUCGAGGGUGACUUGUGCCUCACGAUUCAGGCCUUGGUUGAUAGGCGGCCUCUUCUCAUCGUCAGGAUAAAUGAUGAUCCCCUUGUUACGGAAGUAAACUGCAGAGAGAGAGCGAGAAUAGUUCUUGGCGGAUGAUGCUUGUCUGGCCUGGCUCCUCCCCAAUCACUUACCAAUCUCAUCCAGAUUCAGUCCAGCCACGUCCAUUUCCAUGGCAAAGAACACAGUGCCAUAGCCCUCGCGUCCAAUGGUGAAAUUGGGCACCACACCGGACCCAUCCUCGGCCAGGUAGGACUUGAGAUCAUCCAGCGAGGGUAUCGUGUAGUAGCCCACGCGUCGCAACACUAUCCCUGUGGGAUGUGGCGCAUAGUCUGACGCCCCAUAGCGCCUCGUUGCUGCCUCAAUGGCCAGUCUGGAGCGAUUCACUACAGUCUCCUGCGAGAGGGCCGCCUGCUGCUGCUGCUGCGAUGCGAAGGUAUCCCGCUUGGCAAUGGCGCUGGUUUGCGACUUAUCCGUAUCCUGCCGAUGUUGGUCUCUGCUGUCCCUGGAAGAGAAACCGCUGCUGCUGCUACUGCUCGCCGUCUCCGUGGGACUGUCGGACUUUUGGUGGGGACAUCCCAAAGCCGCUUGGAGCCUGUGGGGACCGUUGCUGUUCACCGAAGAUUUGGGGUUUGGGAUAUCGGCGGCCUUGUCCUUUUUUUUCUCUCUUGUUUUCCUGUUUUUACUCAUUAUUACAGCUAUUGGUGCGUCGCGUCCACACACACACACACGUAUAUGCUCAAAAUGGGAUGCUCCGGCUGUUGCUCCACUUAACUACAGCUCCUGCUAAGGAUUGGUAAGGACAUAAACUGGACCUAGACGUACAACAAUCGAUGGUAUUGUGUUCGUAUCGAUAGCAUAGCUAGGGCUGCAAAAACUGCAAAACCGACGCUACGCGACGCUACGAGACGCUACCCGGCUACCGGCUACUAGGACUAGCCACUGACAGGACUUUCCAGGACUACGCACUACACUGCACAGGACAAGAUGAAUACGAGCAAGGCUGGAGCCAGUGCCACUGCUGCAACCAGCAAUGCGUCAUCCCAGGACCAGCAACAAGCUGUGGGCCCUUUGCGACCGGCAAAGCCUGGCCGGAUGAAGAAACUAGCAUAUCCGAAGAAACCUGACCAGUACACAAACCGCCGACCCGUUUGUCCCAUGUUUUACCUCUUCAAAUCAUUUAGUCUAGUGGAAUUUAACGCCAACGAUCUGAAGAACGCGAUCCAGUACCUUAAAAGCCCCAGUCACAUAGCAGAUGUGAAAAUCGGCAAGGUCAAUUUGGUAUCGUGCCUCACAUAUUUUCGAAAUGAAAAGUUUGUAAUAAUAUUAGACGAGUAUCAUCUUUCCCAUAUGACUUUUCUACCCGUACCGAAAUGGAAGGUACUUGUAAUAGCUGCAUUCAACUUGCAGGGCACUAUGUUCCAUUAUUUAUACGUUCGUGCGGUAAGUUGCCUUGCCUCUGGUCUGCUCUUGUAAUACAUCAAUACGCAUAGAUUAAACUUGGUUGAACGGCAUCAAUGACAUCACAUUUAGUUAACAUUUACGUUUUAUGCUUUGGCCGUUUUUGUUUGAACCUUAAUAUGUAAAUAAUCCAAUAAAAAGGACU